rnacentral:rRNA from 1 species
GAUGAACGCUGGCGGCGUGCCUAAUACAUGCAAGUCGAGCGAACAGACGAGGAGCUUGCUCCUCUGACGUUAGCGGCGGACGGGUGAGUAACACGUGGAUAACCUACCUAUAAGACUGGGAUAACUUCGGGAAACCGGAGCUAAUACCGGAUAAUAUAUUGAACCGCAUGGUUCAAUAGUGAAGGACGGUUUUGCUGUCACUUAUAGAUGGAUCCGCGCCGCAUUAGCUAGUUGGUAAGGUAACGGCUUACCAAGGCAACGAUGCGUAGCCGACCUGAGAGGGUGAUCGGCCACACUGGAACUGAGACACGGUCCAGACUCCUACGGGAGGCAGCAGUAGGGAAUCUUCCGCAAUGGGCGAAAGCCUGACGGAGCAACGCCGCGUGAGUGAAGAAGGUCUUCGGAUCGUAAAACUCUGUUAUUAGGGAAGAACAAAUGUGUAAGUAACUAUGCACGUCUUGACGGUACCUAAUCAGAAAGCCACGGCUAACUACGUG